GACCGAUAGUGAACCAGUACCGUGAGGGAAAGGCGAAAAGAACCCCGGCGAGGGGAGUGAAAAAGAACCUGAAACCGUGUACGUACAAGCAGUGGGAGCCUCUUAAUGGGGUGACUGCGUACCUUUUGUAUAAUGGGUCAGCGACUUAUAUUCUGUAGCAAGGUUAACCGAAUAGGGGAGCCGAAGGGAAACCGAGUCUUAACUGGGCGUUAAGUUGCAGGGUAUAGACCCGAAACCCGGUGAUCUAGCCAUGGGCAGGUUGAAGGUUGGGUAACACUAACUGGAGGACCGAACCGACUAAUGUUGAAAAAUUAGCGGAUGACUUGUGGCUGGGGGUGAAAGGCCAAUCAAACCGGGAGAUAGCUGGUUCUCCCCGAAAGCUAUUUAGGUAGCGCCUCGUGAAUUCAUCUCCGGGGGUAGAGCACUGUUUCGGCAAGGGGGUCAUCCCGACUUACCAACCCGAUGCAAACUGCGAAUACCGGAGAAUGUUAUCACGGGAGACACACGGCGGGUGCUAACGUCCGUCGUGAAGAGGGAAACAACCCAGACCGCCGGCUAAGGUCCCCAAUAACAGCUAAGUGGAAAACGAAGUGGAAAGGCCGUGACAACCAGGAAGUUGGCUUAGAAGCAGCCAUCCUUCAAAGAAAGCGUAAUAGCUCACUGGUCGAGUCCUUCUGCGCGGAAGAUGUAACGGGGCUAAGCUGUUAACCGAAGCCGCGGAUGCACUGGUUAUCCAGUGCGUGGUAGGGGAGCGUUCUGUAAGUCUGCGAAGGCGGUUCGAGAGGACUGCUGGAGAUAUCAGAAGUGCGAAUGCUGACAUGAGUAACGUUAAAGCAGGUGAAAAGCCUGCUCGCCGUAAGCCCAAGGAUUCCUGCUCUACGUUCAUCGGAGCAGGGUGAGUCGGCUCCUAAGGUCAGGCCGAAAGGCGUAGCCGAUGGGAAUCAGGUUAAUAUUCCUGAACCUGCGUCAGAUGCGAUGGGGGGACGGAGCAUGAAAGAUCAUCCGGGUGUUGGAUGUCCCGGUUGUUGAGCGUAGGAGGUCUGCAGGCAAAUCCGCAGACGCAUCUCCAAGGCAAAGACACGUGCCGCCACGGCGGCGAAGUGAUCGGAAGUGCUUCCAAGAAAAGCCUCUAAGCACCAGUCUGACGCGGACCGUACCGCAAACCGACACUGGUGGGCGAGCUGAAUAUGCUCAGGCGCUUGAGAGAACUCGGGAGAAGGAACUCGGCAAAUUGACACCGUAACUUCGGAAGAAGGUGUGCCGUAGUACCGUGAGAGGAGAGACACCUUGAGCGGGAAUCGGUCUCAGAGAAUAGGUGGCUGCGACUGUUUAUUAAAAACACAGCACUCUGCAAAGUCGAAAGACGACGUAUAGGGUGUGAUGCCUGCCCGGUGCUGGAAGAUUAAUUGAUGGGGUGAGAGCCCUUGAUCGAAGUCCCAGUAAACGGCGGCCGUAACUAUAACGGUCCUAAGGUAGCGAAAUUCCUUGUC
rnacentral:rRNA from 1 species